ACCAAAGUCGAGACCGACCCAAAGUCGAGACUGACCCAAAGUUGAGACCGACCCAAAGUCAAGACCAACCCAAGACUGACCCAACGUUCAGACCAACCCAAAGUUGAAACUGACCCAAAGUCAAGACCAAUCCAAGACUGACCCAAAGUCAAAACUGACCCAAAGUCAAGACCAACCCAAAGUGAAGACCAACUUAAAGUUAAAACCAAUCCAAAGUCAAGACCAAUCCAAGACCGGCCCAAAGUCAAAACUGACCCAAAGUCAAGACUGACCCAAAGUUGAGACCAACCCAAAGUUGAGACCAACUCAAAGUCGAGAUGGACCCAAAGUCGAGACCAAUCCAAGACCAACCCAAACUUGCGACUGACCCAAAGUCAAGACCAAUCCAAGACCGACCCAAAGUCGAGACUGACCCAAAGAUC
rnacentral:lncRNA from 1 species